rnacentral:rRNA from 1 species
AUUGAACGCUGGCGGCAUGCUUUACACAUGCAAGUCGAACGGUAACAGGCCGCAAGGUGCUGACGAGUGGCGAACGGGUGAGUAAUGCAUCGGAACGUGCCCAGUCGUGGGGGAUAACUACUCGAAAGAGUAGCUAAUACCGCAUACGAUCUAUGGAUGAAAGCGGGGGACCGUAAGGCCUCGCGCGAUUGGAGCGGCCGAUGUCAGAUUAGGUAGUUGGUGGGGUAAAGGCUUACCAAGCCAACGAUCUGUAGCUGGUCUGAGAGGACGACCAGCCACACUGGGACUGAGACACGGCCCAGACUCCUACGGGAGGCAGCAGUGGGGAAUUUUGGACAAUGGGCGCAAGCCUGAUCCAGCAAUGCCGCGUGCAGGAAGAAGGCCUUCGGGUUGUAAACUGCUUUUGUACGGAACGAAACGGCUCUGGUUAAUACCCGGGGCUAAUGACGGUACCGUAAGAAUAAGCACCGGCUAACUACGUG